ACUCUGCAUGGACAUGAGGGCCCCUGCUCAGCUCUUUGGACUCCUUCUGCUCUGGCUUCCAGGUGCCAGAUGUGACAUCCAGAUGACCCAGUCUCCGUCCUCCCUCUCUGCAUCUCUGGGAGACCGAGUCACCAUCACUUGCAAAGCAAGUCAGGGCAUUAGCAAUUAUUUAAACUGGUAUCAACAGAAACCAGGGGAAGCUCCUAAGCUUCUGAUUUAUUAUACAAAUAGUUUGGCAGAUGGGGUCCCAUCGAGGUUCAGUGGCAGUGGGUCUGGGACAGAUUAUUCUCUCACCAUCAGCAGCCUCAAGUCUGAAGACAUUGCAACUUAUUACUGUCUACAGUAUGAUAAGUAUCCUCCCACAGUGAUACAAUUCAUAACAUAA